rnacentral:tRNA from 1 species
GCGUUUGUGGUUUAGUGGUAAAAUCCAUCGUUGCCAAUUGGCUAUACAGUUUAGCUUAUUAGCUUAACGGUCUAGUAUAGCCAUUGUAUCGAUGGGCCCCGGGUUCGAUUCCCGGCGAACGCA